GGACUACUGGGGUAUCUAAUCCCGUUUGCUCCCCUGGCCUUCGUGCCUCAGUGUCAGGAACUGUCCAGAGAUCCGCCUUCGCCACUGGUCUUCCUCACGAUAUCUACGCAUUUCACUGCUACACCGUGAAUUCCAAUCUCCUCUCCAGUCCUCAAGCACCGCAGUAUCGAAUGCAGUUCCGGAGUUAAGCUCCGGGAUUUCACAUCCGACUUACGGCACCACCUACGCACCCUUUACGCCCAAUGAAUCCGAACAACGCUUGAGACCUCUGUAUUACCGCGGCUGCUGGCAC
rnacentral:rRNA from 1 species